UUGGGUUAAGUCCCGCAACGAGCGCAACCCCUGUGAACUGUUGCCACGGAACCGAGAGGUUCCAGCACUCUGUUCAGACUGCCCCGCUCUAACGGGGAGGAAGGUGGGGACGACGUCAAGUCAGUAUGGCCCUUACGGCCUGGGCUGCACACGUACUACAAUGCCCAGUACAGAACGAUCCUAGACCGCGAGGUGGAGGAAAUCACUAAAACUGGGCCCAGUUCAGAUUGAAGUCUGCAACUCGACUUCAUGAAGCCGGAAUCGCUAGUAAUGGCGCAUCAGCUACGGCGCCGUGAAUACGUUCCCGGGCCUUGUACACACCGCCCGUCACAUCAUGGGAGUCGCUUGUAGCCGAAGUCGGCGCGCUAACCGCAAGGAGGCAGCCGCCUACGCUAUGAGCGGUAACUGGGAUGAAGUCGUAACAAGGUAA
rnacentral:rRNA from 1 species